AACCUCAGGGUUCUUACCACAGGCUAUUCUUACACCGAUUGUACGGAAAAAGGAGGCAGAGAAAAUCCACCCAUAUACAACCUGGCCCAGGCCCUUUGCCUGUAUUGUGAAGAGGGGGACAUGG
ensembl:snoRNA